UAUUUGCAUAUGGCACACAUGUAAUUUCUCUCUGAGGUCAUUGCAUAAGCCACUUAACUUGUAUACCAAGCUGAAUACAGUCCAUGCUGCAAUGGUUGUUGAAUUUGAAUGCCUGGAGUUCGGAUUUUUUUCCCCGUCAAUUUAUUUUACUGGUGAAGAGAAAAGGAACUUGCAGAAUAUGAGAUAAGUAUUAUAUACUGAAUACGUAAAUGAAGGGAAAAAACAUGCACUUGGUUAUCUUUCAUGGUCCAGAAAUCUGCGAUAAGAGGAGCGCAUGAGAUUGAGCUUCUUAAAAUCCAGUAGAUGGUUAUGUACAUCUUUGACUUUGUAACAACAAUAGCCCCAUCAUCCAGAAGUUGUUG
rnacentral:lncRNA from 1 species